UACGUAGGGCGCAAGCGUUGUCCGGAAUUAUUGGGCGUAAAGAGCUCGUAGGCGGCCUGUUACGUCUGCUGUGAAAUCCCGGGGCUUAACCCCGGGCGUGCAGUGGAUACGGGCCGGCUGGAGGCAGGCAGGGGAGAAUGGAAUUCCCGGUGUAGCGGUGAAAUGCGCAGAUAUCGGGAGGAACACCGGUGGCGAAGGCGGUUCUCUGGGCCUGUACUGACGCUGAGGAGCGAAAGCGUGGGGAGCAACCAGG
rnacentral:rRNA from 1 species